rnacentral:rRNA from 1 species
GACGAACGCUGGCGGCGUGCCUAAUACAUGCAAGUAGAACGCUGAAGGAGGAGCUUGCUCUUCUGGAUGAGUUGCGAACGGGUGAGUAACGCGUAGGUAACCUGCCUGGUAGCGGGGGAUAACUAUUGGAAACGAUAGCUAAUACCGCAUAAGAGUAGAUGUUGCAUGACAUUUACUUAAAAGGUGCAAUUGCAUCACUACCAGAUGGACCUGCGUUGUAUUAGCUAGUUGGUGGGGUAACGGCUUACCAAGGCGACGAUACAUAGCCGACCUGAGAGGGUGAUCGGCCACGCUGGGACUGAGACACGGCCCAGACUCCUACGGGAGGCAGCAGUAGGGAAUCUUCGGCAAUGGACGGAAGUCUGACCGAGCAACGCCGCGUGAGUGAAGGAGGUUGUCGGAUCGUGAAGCUCUGUUGUGAGAGAAGAUCGAGUGUGAGAGUGGAAAGUUCACACUGUGACGGUAUCUUACCAGAAAGGGACGGCUAACUACGUG